AUGGAAAAAAUCAAAUAUGCAUUGUCCAGUACACGAAGGCAGAGAAUCCUAGGCAUUUGUGGGAAUUUUCAUCUUGUGCAGGAAAGAGUUACUGGGGUAGGUUUCUGCAGCUGGAGGAUUAACCAAGUGAGCCAUGGUGCCGGCCCCCAUAUUGGACUUUUAAUAUACAUGAUUGUAAGGUAAUAAGUGUAUAUUGUUUUAAGAUGUCAUUUUUUAUUUUAUUUAUAUUUUACAACAUAAAAGUAAUAUGCCAUUUCAAUUAUUUAUUUAAAUUUUUUAUUAAUUUUAUUUUUAUUUAUUUUCAAGACUAAAAAGAGAGAUCUUAGAUUCACUGGCUUAUUCCCCAUAUGCCUGCAAUAGCUGGUGCUGGGCCAAGCCACAUCCUGGAGCCCGGAUCUCAUUCAAGGCCUCCCAUGUCUAGGGACCCUAGUAUUUGAGCCAUCCCUUGCCACCCUGCAGUGUUAGUAGGAAGCUGAAUUGAGAGAGGAGCUGUGUCUUGAAGCCAGGUAUUUUGAUACAAGAUGCUGGCAUUCCAAGUGAGAUCUUAAUUUGCUGUGCAAAAUGCCUGACCCUAAUCAUUCAUUUUAAACUUAACACAACUAUCCAUAUUCGGUCUAGUCCAUUUUUAGCUUUGUGGAUAUUGAUUGCUGACAAACAGGUAGUUUCUGGAUUGGUUUGUAAUAUUUAGUAUUCCUUAUUAUGAUAAUUUCUAUUACUGUUGUAUUUUUUCUUAAAGAUUAAAAACUAUGCUGGUCAGAAUUAUUUUCUUAUAGUGUAAGUUGAAAUAUUUUAUUAAUGUGCAUUUCAUGUGUUUUCUCUUAAAGAAAAAAAAGCUUUUUCCAUUAUAAUCAGCCUUCCACAUCCACAAGUUCUGCAUUAGUGGCUUCAACCAACAACAAGUCAAAAAUACUCAAAGCAAAUUGCACUUACACUGUAGAGACUCUUUUUCUUGUCCUCAUUCCCUAAACAAUGCAACUAUCUGCAUAACACUUAUGUUAAGAAUUUAAAGUAAUCCAGAGAUGAUUUAAACUUUGGAGUGGAUGUACUUUGGUUGUUGAAUAAUACCGUGGCAUUUUAUAGAAAAGGCUCCAGCAUCUGAGGCUUUGCUAUCUGUGGGGAUAAUGAGGGACAGAGCCUCCAGGGGCUGAGUGUCUAAUUGCCCCAUGCUAUGAGCUGUAGGUGG
rnacentral:lncRNA from 1 species